rnacentral:rRNA from 1 species
UACGUAGGGGGCAAGCGUUGUCCGGAUUUAUUGGGCGUAAAGAGCGUGUAGGCGGCCUGACAGGUCUGCUGUGAAAACUCGAGGCUCAACCUCGAGAUGUCGGCGGAAACCGUCUGGCUAGAGUCCGGAAGAGGAGAGUGGAAUUCCUGGUGUAGCGGUGAAAUGCGCAGAUAUCAGGAAGAACACCUAUGGCGAAGGCGGCUCUCUGGUACGUGACUGACGCUGAGACGCGAAAGCGUGGGGAGCGAACAGG